rnacentral:rRNA from 1 species
GACGAACGCUGGCGGCGUGCUUAACACAUGCAAGUCGAGCGGUAAGGCCCUUUCGGGGGUACGACGAGCGGCGAACGGGUGAGUAACACGUGGGUGACCUGCCCUUACGCUCUGGGAGUAAGCCUGGGAAACGUGGGUCGUAAUACCGGAUAUGACUCCAUGACGCAUGUUGUGGGGUGGAAAGCCUUGUGCGGCUAGGGAUGGGCCCGCGGCCUAUCAGCUUGUU